GGAGGGCUAGUCUAACUGGUAAGGCAGCGGACUUGAAAUCCGCCGACCCAGAAAUGGGUCUUGGGGGUUCGACUCCCCCGCCCUCCG
rnacentral:tRNA from 1 species